rnacentral:pre_miRNA from 1 species
AAAAAGGCUUUGACUGUCCGUCUUAUAUGAAAUUUUUUUAUAAUUCGUAUUUUUAUUGUUGUUAGAUGAUAAAACAUGAUUAAUACUUUGUGCGUGACUUGUCUUUUUAAUUUUUUUCAUAAUUUUUUCAAAUAAGACGGACGGUCAAACAUUGGGCACGGAAACC